rnacentral:rRNA from 1 species
UACGGGGGGAGCAAGCGUUGUUCGGAUUUACUGGGCGUAAAGCGCGCGUAGGCGGCUUUGUAAGUUAGAGGUGAAAGCCCGGAAGCUCAACCUCCGGAACUGCCUUUAAGACUGCAUCGCUAGAAUUGUGGAGAGGGUGAGUGGAAAUUCCGAGUGUAGAGGUGAAAAUUCGUAGAUAUUCGGAAGAACACCAGUGGCGAAGGCGACUCACUGGACACAUAUUGACGCUGAGGUGCGAAAGCGUGGGGAGCAAACAGGGAU